rnacentral:rRNA from 1 species
AAACUCAAAUGAAUUGACGGGACCCGCACAGGCGGUGGAUGAUGUGGUUUAAUUCGAUGCAACGCGAAAACCUUACCCACCUUUGACAUGUACGGAACCCUUUAGAGAUAGAGGGGUGCUCGAAAGAGAGCCGUAACACAGGUGCUGCAUGGCUGUCGUCAGCUCGUGUCGUGAGAUGUUGGGUUAAGUCCCGCAACGAGCGCAACCCUUGUCAUUAGUUGCUACAUUCAGUUGGGCACUCUAAUGAGACUGCCGGUGACAAGCCGGAGGAAGGUGGGGAUGACGUCAAGUCCUCAUGGCCCUUAUAGGUGGGGCUACACACGUCAUACAAUGGCUGGUACAAAGGGUUGCCAACCCGCGAGGGGGAGCCAAUCCCAUAAAGCCAGUCGUAGUCCGGAUCGUAGUCUGCAACUCGACUACGUGAAGUCGGAAUCGCUAGUAAUCGUGGAUCAGAAUGUCACGGUGAAUACGUUCCCGGGUCUU